rnacentral:misc_RNA from 1 species
UGGUUCUGGCAUCGAUGAAGAACGCAGCGAAAUGCGAUAAGUAAUGCGAAUUGCAGAAUUCCGUGAGUCAUCGAAUUUUUGAACGCACAUUGCGCCCCCUGGUAUUCCGGAGGGCAUGCCUGUCCGAGCGUCAUUAUCCAGUCUCAAGCCCGGCUUGAUGGUGGGUCCCACCGUCCUGGCGGUCGACCCGAAAGACAGCAACGGGCUUCAUAUCUCGUGGACGCAGCGAGCUUUUCAGCACGCGUCCCGGCGGUGCGAGGCACGUCUCAACCCCAUUAGGUUGACCUCGGAUCAGACAGGGUUACCCGCUGA